GGGUUCAUAGAUCAGCUGGUUAGAGCGCUCGGUUUACAUCCGAGAGGUCGGGGGUUCGAUCCCCUCUGAGCCCA
rnacentral:tRNA from 1 species